CGUAAUCGGAAUGAGAACACUUUAAAUCCUUUAACGAGUAUCCAUUGGAGGGCAAGUCUGGUGCCAGCAGCCGCGGUAAUUCCAGCUCCAAUAGCGUAUAUUAAAGUUGUUGCGGUUAAAAAGCUCGUAGUUGGACUUGUGUCCCACGCUGUCGGUUCACCGCCCGUCGGUGUCUAACUGACAUGUAUCGUGGGACGUCCUGCCGGUGGUGGCGAGUCGAAAGAUCGCGCCCCUGCGGCAUACGCCACAGGUCGGUUGCGGUUCGUAGACGGACCCCGAUGAAAUCCUACCGCGGUGCUCUUAAACGAGUGUCGAGGUGGGCCGGCACGUUUACUUUGAACAAAUUAGAGUGCUUAAAGCAGGCCUGAUGCGCCUGAAUACUGUGUGCAUGGAAUAAUGGAAUAGGACCUCGGUUCUAUUUUGUUGGUUUUCGGAACCCGAGGUAAUGAUUAAUAGGGACAGUCGGGGGCAUUCGUAUUGCGACGUUAGAGGUGAAAUUCUUGGAUCGUCGCAAGACGGACCGAAGCGAAAGCAUUUGCCAAGUAUGUUUUCAUUAAUCAAGAACGAAAGUUAGAGGUUCGAAGGCGAUCAGAUACCGCCCUAGUUCUAACCAUAAACGAUGCCAGCUAGCGAUCCGCCGAAGUUCCUCCGAUGACUCGGCGGGCAGCUCCCGGGAAACCAAAGCUUUUGGGUUCCGGGGGAAGUAUGGUUGCAAAGCUGAAACUUAAAGGAAUUGACGGAAGGGCACCACCAGGAGUGGAGCCUGCGGCUUAAUUUGACUCAACACGGGAAACCUCACCAGGCCCGGACACU
rnacentral:rRNA from 1 species